GACGAACGCUGGCGGCGUGCUUAACACAUGCCAGUCGAGCGGAAAGGCCACUUCGGUGGUACUCGAGCGGCGAGCGGGUGAGUAACACGUGAGUAAUCUGCCCUUGGCUUUGGGAUAGCCACCGGAAACGGUGAUUAAUACCGGAUACGACCACUCCAGGCAUCUGGUGGUGGUGGAAAGUUUUUCGGCCAGGGAUGUGCUCGCGGCCUAUCAGCUUGAUGGUGAGGUAAUGGCUCACCAUGGCUUCGAUGGGUAGCCGGCCUGAGAGGGUGACCGGUCACACUGGGACUGAGACACGGCCCAGACUCCUACGGGAGGCAGCAGUGGGGAAUAUUGGACAAUGGGCGGAAGCCUGAUCCAGCAACGCCGCGUGAGGGAUGACGGCCUUCGGGUUGUAAACCUCUUUCGGUAGGGACGAAGCGCAAGUGACGGUACCUACUAAAGAAGCACCGGCCAACUACGUG
rnacentral:rRNA from 1 species